GUGCCAGCAGCCGCGGUAAUACGUAGGGGGCAAGCGUUGUCCGGAAUUAUUGGGCGUAAAGCGCGCGCAGGCGGUCCUUUAAGUCUGAUGUGAAAGCCCACGGCUCAACCGUGGAUGGCCAUUGGAAACUGGAGGACUUGAGUACAGAAGAGGAGAGUGGAAUUCCACGUGUAGCGGUGAAAUGCGUAGAGAUGUGGAGGAACACCAGUGGCGAAGGCGACUCUCUGGUCUGUAACUGACGCUGAGGUGCGAAAGCGUGGGGAGCGAACAGGAUUAGAUACCCUGGUAGUCCACGCCGUAAACGUUGAGUGCUAGGUGUUAGGGGGUUUCCGCCCCUUAGUGCUGAAGUUAACGCAUUAAGCACUCCGCCUGGGGAGUACGGCCGCAAGGCUGAAACUCAAAAGAAUUGACGGGGGCCCGCACAAGCGGUGGAGCAUGUGGUUUAAUUCGAAGCAACGCGAAGAACCUUACCAGGUCUUGACAUCCUCUGACACCCCUAGAGAUAGGGCAUUCCCUUCGGGGACAGAGUGACAGGUGGUGCAUGGUUGUCGUCAGCUCGCGUAGAGAGAUGUUGGGUUAAGUCUCGCAACGAGCGCAACCCU
rnacentral:rRNA from 3 species